CUGCAGUGAUGACUUUUUUAGGACACCUUUGAAUUUGCCGUGAAAAUUAGUACAUUCUGAACAGC
ensembl:snoRNA SNORD58 Small nucleolar RNA SNORD58